AUAGAUUCCAACCAAGAAAGUUCCCAAAAGACCAUGCAAUGUUGUCCAGGUUCCAAAACAACAAACUGCCAAAAAAAGGUCACAAGCCACAUAACAUAACCAAUAACAAAGAAAAUCUGGAUGUGAAAUUAAAACUCCAAAUGCAAUCUGGACAUGAAAAUUUGGAUGCAAUUGUUCAGUUCAACAAGCCAAUUGAGAGCUCCAAGGUACAGCAUCCAAAUUUCUGAGGCAAACCAAAAAUUUGACAAAGUUAAAAAAGUAGAUAAUUUAAUUAAGAUAAAUGUAAUUGAGAACUAGAAAAUGUAAUAAAAUAGAACCUUGUUGCAUGCUCAGCAAACAAAAAGGGAAAAUAAAAACCACCUAAAUAAUUGAAGUUAAAAAAAAACAACCAAUAAAAGUAAUAGUAAAAUAAUAAAGCUUACUUUCAAUUUCUUUUUGAUUCCAUGAUGAUUUCUGCACCAUUCUCCUCUGUACAACAAUAUCUAAACCGUAUAUGGAUGAAGUGAAACUCGAUA
rnacentral:lncRNA from 1 species